rnacentral:tRNA from 3 species
CAAAAAGUAGUUUAAAGUGAGAAUGCUAGCUUUGGGGGCUAGAGAUGGAAUAUCCCUUUUUGA